rnacentral:tRNA from 1 species
UGUCCAGGUAUGGGAAUCGAACCCACAGUGUUCAGCUUACCGGGCAGAUGCCAUGUCCACUAGGCUACCCUGGAC